rnacentral:rRNA from 1 species
GACGAACGCUGGCGGCGUGCCUAAUACAUGCAAGUUGAGCGCUGAAGGUUGGUACUUGUACCAACUGGAUGAGCAGCGAACGGGUGAGUAACGCGUGGGGAAUCUGCCUUUGAGCGGGGGACAACAUUUGGAAACGAAUGCUAAUACCGCAUAAAAACUUUAAACACAAGUUUUAAGUUUGAAAGAUGCAAUUGCAUCACUCAAAGAUGAUCCCGCGUUGUAUUAGCUAGUUGGUGAGGUAAAGGCUCACUAAGGCGAUGAUACAUAGCCGACCUGAGAGGGUGAUCGGCCACACUGGGACUGAGACACGCCCCAAACUCCUACGGGAGGCAGCAGUAGGGAAUCGUCGGCAAUGGACGAAAGUCUGACCGAGCAACGCCGCGUGAGUGAAGAAGGUUUUCGGAUCGUAAAACUCUGUUGGUAGAGAAGAACGUUGGUGAGAGUGGAAAGCUCAUCAAGUGACGGUAACUACUCAGAAAGGGACGGCUAACUACGUG